rnacentral:rRNA from 1 species
UACGGAGGGUGCAAGCGUUACCCGGAAUCACUGGGCGUAAAGGGCGUGUAGGCGGUUGCGUAAGUCUGGCUUUAAAGACCGGGGCUCAACCUCGGGGAUGGGCUGGAUACUGCGCGACUUGACCUCUGGAGAGAGACUCGGAAUUUCUGGUGUAGCGGUGGAAUGCGUAGAUACCAGAAGGAACACCGAUGGCGAAGGCAGAGUCUUGGACAGAAGGUGACGCUGAGGCGCGAAAGUGUGGGGAGCGAACCGG